GAUGAACGCUAGCGGCAGGCCUAAUACAUGCAAGUCGAACGAUACCAGAGAGCUUGCUUUCUGGGAAAGUGGCGCACGGGUGCGUAACGCGUAUGCAACCUACCUUAAUCAGGGGGAUAGCCUCUCGAAAGAGAGAUUAACACCGCAUAACAUCAUUUUACGGCAUCGUAGAAUGAUCAAAUAUUUAUAGGAUUAAGAUGGGCAUGCGUGACAUUAGCUAGUUGGUGAGGUAACGGCUCACCAAGGCUACGAUGUCUAGGGGAUCUCAGAGGAUGACCCCCCACACUGGUACUGAGACACGGACCAGACUCCUACGGGAGGCAGCAGUAAGGAAUAUUGGUCAAUGGAGGCAACUCUGAACUAGCCAUGCCGCGUGCAGGAAGACGGCCCUAUGGGUUGUAAACUGCUUUUAUACGGGAAUAAACCUCUCUACGUGUAGGGAGUUGAAUGUACUGUAAGAAUAAGGAUCGGCUAACUCCGUGCCAGCCGCCGCGGUAA
rnacentral:rRNA from 1 species